GACGAACGCUGGCGGCGUGCCUAAUACAUGCAAGUCGAACGCAGUGGGGACGGGUGAGUAACACGUGGGUAACCUCCCAUCAGAGGGGAUAACACUUGGAAACAGGUGCUAAACCGAUACUGAUGGAUGGACCCGCGGUGCAUUAGCUAGUUGGGGAGGUAACGGCUCACCGAGGCCACGAUGCAUAGCCGACCGGAGAGGGUGAUCAGCCACACUGGGACUGGGACACGGCCCAGACUCCUACGGGAGGCAGCAGUAGGGAAUCUUCGGCAAUGGACGAAAGCCUGAUCGAGCAACGCCGCGUGAGUGAAGAAGGUUUUCGGAUCGUAAAAUUCUGUUGGUAGAGAAGCGGUAUCUACCCAGAAAGCCACGGCUAACUACGUGCCAGCAGCCGCGGUAAUAC
rnacentral:rRNA from 1 species